CCUGGUUGAUCCUGCCAGUAGGCAUAUGCUUGUCUCAAAGAUUAAGCCAUGCAUGUCUAAGUACACGCCCUAGCAAGGCGAAACCGCGAAUGGCUCAUUAAAUCAGUUAUGGUUCCUUAGAUCGUACACAUUUACUUGGAUAACUGUGGUAAUUCUAGAGCUAAUACAUGCAAUUGAGCCCUCGUCCCUUUUAGGGUGAGGGUGCUUUUAUUAGACCAAGACCAAACGGGGGAAACUCCGAUAGUCGUGGUGACUCUGAAUAACUAUGGCAGAUUGCACAGUCCUAGCACUGGCGACGCAUCUUUCAAGUGUCUGCCUUAUCAACUUUCGAUGGUAGGUUAUGCGCCUACCAUGGUUGUUACGGGUAACGGGGAAUCAGGGUUCGAUUCUGGAGAGGGAGCCUGAGAAACGGCUACCACAUUCAAGGAAGGCAGCUGGCGCGCAAAUUACCCACUCCCGGCACGGGGAGGUAGUGACGAAAAAUAACAAUACGGGACUCUAACGAGGCUCCGUAAUUGGAAUGAGUACACUCUAAACCUUUUAACGAGGAUCUAUUGGAGGGCAAGUCUAGUGCCAGCAGCCGCGGUAACUCUAGCUCCAAUAGCGUAUAUUAAAGUUGUUGCGGUUAAAAAGCUCGUAGUUGGAUCUCAGUCGCGCUCCCUUCGAUGCGUUGCAAAGCGUCUAUCGUUGGGGCCGACAGCACGUUGGUGGGCCCGGUUGGCUUUUACCGGUUGCUCAAAGCAGGCUGGUGCCUGGAUAUUGGUUCAUGGAACUUCCUUUAAUUAAAUGCUAGCAAAUACAAACGGCGAUGGUUUACAACCCUAGCGGGAACUCAGAGUUUAUCACACUUAGAUUAUCAGGAAGCAAAUGAAAUCCGUCUUGAUUGAUAGGCCUAUUGAAAUUCCUCUGGGGAAAAGCAGAAGCCAGUGGCCCUUAAAAUGGUGUAAAAUAAUUGGAAAAAUAUGUUACACUUUCCCACUACUGAUGGUCAUGAGAUUCCUGGCAUCAGCGAUCGUUUCUGGACGGCUCGCUUCCAUAGCUAAGGCCAGGCUGUCUGCCAACACGUGUGUUCACACAGAACUGUCCUCCUUUUCUCUCUGUCGAACAUCUGUUUUAAUGGAGACGUCUCCACGUCCAUAACUUCAUCCAUGCUCUCUCCUCCUCUAAGUUCUUUUCUAUCUUCCAAAUAUAACUUUUCUUAACACAAAAUAAUGAACGUUCAAAAGUUUAUAUUUUUAUAAUGCAGAGAAUAUUAUCAGUGAUGGAUUACUGACACUCUCUGUAUAUACGAGGUGUAAUAACCGGACUCAUGUCUAUUUUUAUUCGUCACCAAUUACAACAGACACCUUAUCUCCUUG
rnacentral:rRNA from 1 species